rnacentral:rRNA from 1 species
AUUGAACGCUGGCGGCAUGCCUUACACAUGCAAGUCGAACGGCAGCACGGGUGCUUGCACCUGGUGGCGAGUGGCGAACGGGUGAGUAAUACAUCGGAACAUGUCCUGUAGUGGGGGAUAGCCCGGCGAAAGCCGGAUUAAUACCGCAUACGAUCCAUGGAUGAAAGCGGGGGACCUUCGGGCCUCGCGCUAUAGGGUUGGCCGAUGGCUGAUUAGCUAGUUGGUGGGGUAAAGGCCUACCAAGGCUACGAUCAGUAGCUGGUCUGAGAGGACGACCAGCCACACUGGGACUGAGACACGGCCCAGACUCCUACGGGAGGCAGCAGUGGGGAAUUUUGGACAAUGGGCGAAAGCCUGAUCCAGCAAUGCCGCGUGUGUGAAGAAGGCCUUCGGGUUGUAAAGCACUUUUGUCCGGAAAGAAAKMCUUGGCUCUAAUACAGUCGGGGGAUGAC